ACCACUUUGGGAAACAUUUUGUCAGUUUCUUAAAAAUAUAAACUUACAUCAUUGUUGCUAGUUCCACUCCGCGGUAUCUAUCCAAGACGACUUGCUGUACCAUGAUGCCCCCGGCAAGUUCACGGCCGCCAAAACGCCGCCCGCGGGGAUCCCCGCACACCGCACACCGGGGGCCCCGCGGCUCCUCAGCCGGCCGCAGCACCAGGUCAACGGUCAGACACGAACGAGGCCUCGGGGGGC
rnacentral:lncRNA from 1 species